rnacentral:rRNA from 1 species
ACGCUGGCGGCGUGCCUAACACAUGCAAGUCGAACGGAGUACCUUCGGGUGCUUAGUGGCGAACGGGUGAGUAACGCGUGAAGAACCUGCCUUUCAGUGGGGGACAACAGUUGGAAACGACUGCUAAUACCGCAUAAUGUUAGUUUGGGGGGCAUCCUCGAAUAACCAAAGAUUUAUUGCUGAAAGAUGGCUUCGCGUCUGAUUAGCUAGAUGGCGGGGUAACGGCCCACCAUGGCGACGAUCAGUAGCCGGUCUGAGAGGAUGAACGGCCACAUUGGGACUGAGAUACGGCCCAGACUCCGUACGGGAGGCAGCAGGUGGGGAAUAUUGGGCAAUGGGCGAAAGCCUGACCCAGCAACGCCGCGUGAGGGAAGAAGGGUUUCGGCUCGUAAACCUCUGUCCUAUGGGACGAAGAAGUGACGGUACCAUAGGAGGAAGCCCCGGCUAACUACGUG